AGGAUUAACGCUGGCGGCGUGCCUGACACAUGCAAGUCGAACGAGGCCGCAAGGCCGAGUGGCGGACGGGUGAGUAACACGUGACCAACCAACCUCGAAGUUGGGAAUAGCUCUGCGAAAGUAGGGGUAAUACCGAAUGUGGCCCAGGGCGGGCAUCCGCCUUGGUCUAAAGAUUCAUCGCUUCGAGACGGGGUCGCGGCCUAUUAGCUUGUUGGUGAGGUAACGGCUCACCAAGGCGAUGAUGGGUAGCUGGUCUGAGAGGACGACCAGCCACACUGGGACUGAGACACGGCCCCAGACUCCUACGGGAGGCAGCAGUGAGGAAUCUUCCGCAAUGGGCGAAAGCCUGACGGAGCAACGCCGCGUGUGGGAUGAAGACUCUAGGGUUGUAAACCACUGUCGGAGGGGACGAUCGUGACGGUACCCUCCAAGAAACGCCCCGGCUAACUACGUGCCAGCAGCCGC
rnacentral:rRNA from 1 species